rnacentral:rRNA from 1 species
GUGGACGCCAGUCUGCAUGGAGCCGACCUUGAAAUACCACCCUUUAAUGUUUGAUGUUCUAACGUGGACCCGUAAUCCGGGUUGCGGACAGUGUCUGGUGGGUAGUUUGACUGGGGCGGUCUCCUCCUAAAGAGUAACGGAGGAGCACGAAGGUUGGCUAAUCCUGGUCGGACAUCAGGAGGUUAGUGCAAUGGCAUAAGCCAGCUUGACUGCGAGCGUGACGGCGCGAGCAGGUGCGAAAGCAGGUCAUAGUGAUCCGGUGGUUCUGAAUGGAAGGGCCAUCGCUCAACGGAUAAAAGGUACUCCGGGGAUAACAGGCUGAUACCGCCCAAGAGUUCAUAUCGACGGCGGUGUUUGGCACCUCGAUGUCGGCUCAUCACAUCCUGGGGCUGAAGUAGGUCCCAAGGGUAUGGCUGUUCGCCAUUUAAAGUGGUACGCGAGCUGGGUUUAGAACGUCGUGAGACAGUUCGGUCCCUAUCUGCCGUGGGCGCUGGAGAACUGAGGGGGGCUGCUCCUAGUACGAGAGGACCGGAGUGGACGCAUCACUGGUGUUCGGGUUGUCAUGCCAAUGGCACUGCCCGGUAGCUAAAUGCGGAAGAGAUAAGUGCUGAAAGCAUCUAAGCACGAAACUUGCCCCGAGAUGAGUUCUCCCUGAGACUUAAAGUCUCCUGAAGGAACGUUGAAGACGAC